UUUUGGACAAUGGGCGCAAGCCUGAUCCAGCAAUGCCGCGUGAGUGAAGAAGGCCUUCGGGUUGUAAAGCUCUUUUGUCAGGGAAGAAACGGUGAGCUCUAAUACAGUUUGCUAAUGACGGUACCUGAAGAAUAAGCACCGGCUGACUACGUGCCAGCAGCCGCGGUAAUACGUAGGGUGCAAGCGUUAAUCGGAAUUACUGUGCGUAAAGCGUGCGCAGGCGGUUAUGUAAGUCAGAUGUGAAAUCCCCGGGCUCAACCUGGGAAUGGCAUUUGAGACUGCAUGGCUAGAGUGUGUCAGAGGGGGGUAGAAUUCCACGUGUAGCAGUGAAAUGCGUAGAGAUGUGGAGGAAUACCGAUGGCGAAGGCAGCCCCCUGGGAUAACACUGACGCUCAUCACGAA
rnacentral:rRNA from 1 species